rnacentral:rRNA from 1 species
AUUGAACGCUGGCGGCAUGCCUUACACAUGCAAGUCGAACGGUAACGCGGGGCAACCUGGCGACGAGUGGCGAACGGGUGAGUAAUGCAUCGGAACGUGCCCAGUUGUGGGGGAUAACUGCUCGAAAGAGCAGCUAAUACCGCAUACGACCUGAGGGUGAAAGCGGGGGAUCGCAAGACCUCGCGCAAUUGGAGCGGCCGAUGUCGGAUUAGCGAGUUGGUGGGGUAAAGGCCCACCAAGGCGACGAUCCGUAGCUGGUCUGAGAGGACGACCAGCCACACUGGGACUGAGACACGGCCCAGACUCCUACGGGAGGCAGCAGUGGGGAAUUUUGGACAAUGGACGCAAGUCUGAUCCAGCCAUGCCGCGUGCGGGAAGAAGGCCUUCGGGUUGUAAACCGCUUUUGUCAGGGAAGAAAUCUUCUGGGCUAAUACCUCGGGAGGAUGACGGUACCUGAAGAAUAAGCACCGGCUAACUACGUGCCAGCCGCCGCCGUAAAAC